AGGGAAGCAGGUCAUUCUUUAUGAAACGGAGGGAGUAUUAUAAAAUAAUACUCCCUCCGUUUAAAAAAGAAUGACCUGGUUUGACUUG